rnacentral:siRNA from 1 species
CAGGGACGUUUCUCAGGGCGC